rnacentral:lncRNA from 10 species
ACCGCUCCCUCUCAAACGGAAGGAAGGGGAAGAGGCCGCCUCGCCGCCGACAGCCCCUCCCAGCCCGCCUGCCCGCCCUCCUUCCGGCUGUUUUUGUUUGUCUGUCUUUCCCGAGAAGGACGAACAGGGAAAGGCUCAUGAGACUGUACUCUGUGAGGGUGGAAACCGGUCUGAACCAUCCCUGUAACUGCUGAGCCCCGGGACCUGCCGCACACUAGCUGAGGGUGAUGGACCCUGCCGCUGUGCACAAAGUCCACACAGAGGACUUCCCGAGGCAUGAUGCUACGUCCAUCCUAAGAGUCAUAUGUGUUCUUUGGUUAUCCUAGAAGCCACUGUGGUAUCCCAGGGCCUUGACACAGCCACUGACAGAAAAAUGAUGAAUAAAAAUAAUACGCGUGAACUGCUGAUGCUAAGCUGACAUAAUGGAAGUCUGGAGCUGCCUGUGACCAAGGUUUCCCCUGUGUAGAAGCCUACUGUCGGAAAAAAUGAGGCCAGCACACAGAGACUGAGAGGAGUGGAGAAAGAGAGCUGGGUUGGGAGGAGAAGAAAAGGAU